GCUUAUCCAGAGGGGUGGAGGGAACGGCCCAAUGAAUCCCCAGCAACCGACCGUCGUCGGCACGGUGCUAAUUCCGGAAGCGUACUGCUUCGAAGAUGAGG
rnacentral:ncRNA from 1 species